rnacentral:rRNA from 1 species
CCUACGGGAGGCUGCAGUGAGGAAUAUUGGUCAAUGGGCGCGAGCCUGAACCAGCCAAGUAGCGUGAAGGAUGACUGCCCUACGGGUUGUAAACUUCUUUUAUAAAGGAAUAAAGUGAGGCACGUGUGCCUUUUUGCAUGUACUUUAUGAAUAAGGAUCGGCUAACUCCGUGCCAGCAGCCGCGGUAAUCCGGAGGAUCCGAGCGUUAUCCGGAUUUAUUGGGUUUAAAGGGAGCGUAGAUGGGUUGUUAAGUCAGUCGUGAAAGUUUGCGGCUCAACCGUAAAAUUGCAAUUGAUACUGGCAGCCUUGAGUACAGUUGAGGUAGGCGGAAUUCGUGGUGUAGCGGUGAAAUGCUUAGAUAGCACGAAGAACACCGAUUGCGAAGGCAGCUUACUAAACUGCCACUGACAUUGAUGCUCGAAAGUGUGGGUAUCAAACAGGAUUAGAUACCCCAGUAGUC